rnacentral:rRNA from 1 species
UAAAGCGGGUGAAAAGCCCGCUCGCCGGAAGACCAAGGGUUCCUGUCCAACGUUAAUCGGGGCAGGGUGAGUCGACCCCUAAGGCGAGGCCGAAAGGCGUAGUCGAUGGGAAACAGGUUAAUAUUCCCGUACUUGGUGUUACUGCGAAGGGGGGACGGAGAAGGCUAUGUUGGCCGGGCGACGGUUGUCCCGGUUUAAGCGUGUAGGUGUGUGUUCCAGGUAAAUCCGGUUCACUUUAACAC